rnacentral:rRNA from 1 species
ACCCUGAAACCAUACGCCUACAAGCGGUCGGAGCCCCUACGUGGGGUGACGGCGUGCCUUUUGCAUAAUGAACCUACGAGUUACUUUUGCCAGCCAGGUUAAUCGAUUCAGUCGAGGAGCCGAAGCGAAAGCGAGUCUUAAUAGGGCGGUAUAAGUUGGCAGGAGUAGACGCGAAACCAAGUGAUCUACCCAUGAGCAGGUUGAAGGUUAGGUAACACUAACUGGAGGACCGCACCGGUAAACGUUGAAAAGUUUUCGGAUGACUUGUGGGUAGGGGUGAAAGGCUAAUCAAACUUGGAGAUAGCUCGUACUCCCCGAAAUGCAUUUAGGUGCAGCCUUCUGACUAUAUUUAAGAGGUAGAGCGACUGAUAAGAUGCGAGGGCUUCACCGCCUAUCAAGUCUUGAUAAACUCCGAAUGCUUAAAUAAGAAUCAGAGGAGUGAGGGCAUGGGUGCUAAGGUCCAUGUCCGAGAGGGAAAUAACCCAGACCACCAGCUAAGGUCCCGAAAUAACGGCUAAGUUGAAUUAACGAAGUAGAACUGCAGAGACAGCUAGGAUGUUGGCUUGGAAGCAGCCAUUCAUUUAAAGAGUGCGUAACAGCUCACUAGUCGAGGAGUUCUGCGUGGAUAAUAAUCGGGCAUAAGCCGUUUACCGAAGCUGUGGAAUCGGCAACGAUUGGUAGGGGAGCAUUCCAUGAGCCGCAGAAGGUUUUCCUUGAGGAAUGCUGGAGGUAAUGGAAAAGCAAAUGUAGGUAUAAGUAACGAUAAAGAGGGCGAGAACCCCUCUCGCCGAAAGACCAAGGGUUCCUGAUCAACGCUAAUCGGAUCAGGGUAAGUCGGGCCCUAAGGCCAAGCCGAACGGCGCAGCCGAUGGCAGAAACGGUUAAUAUUCCGUUACUAUGAUACGGAGUGACGAGGAGACGGAGAAGUGACACUCUCGCCUGCUGACGGAAUAGCAGGUUGAACGGAGUAGAUAAUGACAUGGUAGGCAAAUCCGCCGUGGCAGUCGAACCGGAUAGUACUGGGCGCCCCCGGGCAACCAGAUAGUAGAGGUAAUCAGGCUCCCGAGAAAAUCCCCUAAACAUAUGCGUAUCAUACCCGUACCCGAAACGGACACACGUGGUUGAGUAGAAAAUACUAAGGCGCUCGAGCGACUCACGGUUAAGGAACUAGGCAAAUUGACCCUGUAACUUCGGGACAAAGGGUCCCUCCCUGGUGGGAGGGCGCAGAGAAUAGGUCCAGGCAACUGUUUAACAAAAACACAGGGCUGUGCGAAAUUGCAAGAUGAAGUAUACAGCCUGACACCUGCCCGGUGCUGGAAGGUUAAGAGGAGAUGUCAUCGCAAGAGAAGCGUUGAAUUGAAGCCCCAGUAAACGGCGGCCGUAACUAUAACGGUCCUAAGGUAGCGAAAUUCCUUGUCGGGUAAGUUCCGACCUGCACGAAUGGUGUAAUGAUCUGGACACUGUCUCAACCGUGAACUCGGUGAAAUUGUAGUAUCGGUGAAGAUGCCGAUUACCCGCAACGGGACGGAAAGACCCCGUGAACCUUUACUGCAACUUAACAUUGAAUUUGGGUAACUGAUGUGUAGGAUAGUCCGGAGACAGAGAAGUGGAUACGCCAGUAUUCAUGGAGUCGUCCUUGAAAUACGGACCUUUGGUUAUUUGAGUUCUAACCCGUAUGAUAUGGGGACACUGUUUGGUGGGUAGUUUGACUGGGGUGGUCGCCUCCAAAAGCGUAACGGAGGCUUCUAAAGGUACCCUCAGGCCGAUUGGUAACCGGCCGGAGAGUGUAAUGGCAGAAGGGUGCUUGACUGAGAGACCGACAAGUCGAUCAGGUAGGAAACUAGAGCAUAGUGAUCCGGUGGUUCCGCAUGGAAGGGCCAUCGCUCAAAGGAUAAAAGGUACUCCGGGGAUAACAGGCUGAUCGCUCCCAAGAGCUCAUAUCGACGGAGCGGUUUGGCACCUCGAUGUCGGCUCGUCACAUCCUGGGGCUGGAGAAGGUCCCAAGGGUUGGGCUGUUCGCCCAUUAAAGUGGCACGCGAGCUGGGUUCAGAACGUCGUGAGACAGUUCGGUCCCUAUCUGUUGUGGGCGCAGGAAAUUUGAGGAGAACUG